rnacentral:rRNA from 1 species
GUAGCUUGCUACUUUGCUGACGAGCGGCGGACGGGUGAGUAAUGCUUGGGAACAUGCCUUGAGGUGGGGGACAACAGUUGGAAACGACUGCUAAUACCGCAUAACGUCUACGGACCAAAGGGGGCUUCGGCUCUCGCCUUUAGAUUGGCCCAAGUGGGAUUAGCUAGUUGGUGAGGUAAUGGCUCACCAAGGCGACGAUCCCUAGCUGGUUUGAGAGGAUGAUCAGCCACACUGGGACUGAGACACGGCCCAGACUCCUACGGGAGGCAGCAGUGGGGAAUAUUGCACAAUGGGCGCAAGCCUGAUGCAGCCAUGCCGCGUGUGUGAAGAAGGCCUUCGGGUUGUAAAGCACUUUCAGUCAGGAGGAAAGCGUGGUGGUUAAUACCCAUCAUGUGUGACGUUACUGACAGAAGAAGCACCGGCUAACUCCGUGCCAGCAGCCGCGGUAAUACGGAGGGUGCGAGCGUUAAUCGGAAUUACUGGGCGUAAAGCGUACGCAGGCGGUUUGUUAAGCGAGAUGUGAAAGCCCCGGGCUCAACCUGGGAACUGC